CGGCAUAUAAAGGAACAUGCAUGUGUGUGUAUAUGUGUGUUACAUGCAUGUGCAUAUAUACACCUGAAGAUGGAUAGAUUUCUGAAAUUAUACAUUAAAACUCUAGAUCAUGGGAAGCUUAGUAAAAAAAGGUGGCACAAUUUUACUUAUGAACUUUUUUCCAUCCUUAAAUUGCUCUUGAAAUAUACAGCGGAAAAAAGAAAACAAUUACUGUCACUUUCAUUUUGGUUCUUAAAGCCAGACUAGAGAGUUUCCCUUCAUUCCCUUUGGGGCUUCAAAUUCAUUCAGUCCUGCCUUUCAAGGCCCACUAGACUCAGGCUUUUCUCUUAUGAAGGUGCUUCUUCUCUAUCUUCAGCAGUUUUUUUCUUCUAGGAAACUGGCCCUUCUCCCCAAGAUUCUAGCUAUUAACAAGCAAUAGCUGCAUCAAAAGCAAUUUGAUCAGCUGCAUGCUCAGUAAAGAAGCAUGCAGACAAGGAACAAUGGUAGUAAUUAAUGUGCAUAUCUGAGUCAAACCCGGUAGUAGAGUAAUUUGAGACACAGUAUACUGCAUAUUGCAGAGUUUAAGAAGUAUCUCCUCAAAGAUACUGGAUCAAAAUGACACUUUUAUCCAACAAAUUAGACAUACUGGAAGAAACGGACAAAUUUCUAGAAACAUACAACCUGACAAGAAUGAAUUAAGAAGAAAGAGACAAUUUGAAUUUACUUAUCACUAGAGAUAAAAUCGAAUUUGUAAUAAUAAAAAAAAUUCCCAGAAAACAAAAGUCCAAGACCAGAUGGCUUCAAAGGCAAUUUUACUAAACAUAUAAAGAAGAGCUAAACAGCUAUCUUUUUCAAACUAUUCCAAAAGAUUGAAGAUAGAACAUUCCUAAAUUCAUUUUAUGAGGCCAUCAUUACCUGAUACCAAAACCAGACAAAAUCACUACAAAAAAAGAAAAUUACAGGCCAAUAUCAAUGAUGAAUACAGAUGUAAAAAUCUUCAACAAAAUAUUAGCACACUGCAUCAAAAAUAUAUAAAAAAUAUCAUAUACCAUGAUCAAGUGGGAUUUAUUCCAGGGACAUAAGGAUGGUGCAAUAGUCACAAACCAAUCAAAAUAAUGCCACACAUAAACAAAAGGAAGGAUAACAACUACAUGGUCAUUCCAAUAGACAGAGAAAAAGCCUCUGACAAAAUUCAACAUCGUUCAUAAAAAAAAAACUCUCAUGAAAGUGGGUAUAGAGGGAACAUAUGUCAACAUAGUAAAGGCCAUUUAUGACAAACCCACAGCUAACAUAUUCAAUGAUGAAAACCUGAAAGCCUUUCCUCUAAAUUCAGGAACAAGGUAAGGGAGUUCCCAUUAUGGCUCAGUGGUAACAAACGUGACUAGUAUCCUUGAGGAUGCAGGUUCGAUCCCUAGCCCUGUUCAGUGGGUUAAGGAUGCAGCAUUGCUACGAGCUGUGGUAUAGGUCACAGACGGUACCUGGAUCAUGCUUUGCUGUGGCUAUGGUGUAAGCUGGCAGUUGCAGCUUCAAUUCGACCCCUCGUCCAGGGAACUUCCAUAUGCCAUGGGCACAGCCCUAAAGAGAAAAAAAAAAAGAUAAGGAUGCCUAUUUUCACCACUUUUAUUUAACAAAGUAUUAGAAGUCCUAGCACAGCAAUCAGACAAGAAAAAUAAAAGGUAACCAAAUUGGAAGGGAAGAAGUAAAAACAUCAUUUUAUUUGAUGACAUGAUACUAUCUCUAUGUAGAAAACCCUAAAGUCUCCACUACAAAUCUAUUAGAACUAAUAAAUGAAUUCAGCAAAAUUCCAGGUACAAGAAUAGUAUAUAGAAAUCUGCUGCUUUCUAUAUACUAAUAAUAAACUAUAAGAACGAGAAAAUUCCAACCAAAAGAAUACCUAGGACUAUAAUUAACCAAGGAAGUGAAAGGCCAUACUCUGAAAACUAUAAAACACUGAUGAGGGAAACAAGAUGAUACAAAGAAAUGGAACAAUAUCCCCAAUUUGGAUUGGAAGAAUAUUAUUAAAAUAUCCAUAACUACACAAAGCAAUCCAUAGAUUUACUGCAAUCCCUAUAAAAAUAUCCAUGACAUUUUUCACAAAACAAGAAUAAAUAAUCCUAAAAUUCAUAUGGAAACACAAAAUACCCCAAAUUGUCAAAGCAAUCUUGAGGAAAAAAAAAUAAAUCUGGCUCCCUGACUUCAGACUAUACUACAAAGCAACAGUCAUCAAAACCAUAUGGUACUGGCACAAAGACAGAAAUAUAGAUCAGAGGAACAGGAUAGAAAGCCCAGAAUUCAACCCACAGCCAACUCAUCUAUGACAAAGGAGGCAAGAACAUACAAUGGAGAAAGGACAGCUUGUUCAAUAAGUGGUGCUGGGAAAACUGACAGCCACAUGGAAAAGAAUGAAAUUAGAACACUCCCUAACACCAUACACAAAAAUCAACUCCAAAUGGAUUAAAGACCUAGAUAUAAGUCCAGACACUAUAAAACUCUUAGAGGAAAACA
rnacentral:lncRNA from 1 species